UUAAAUUGAAGAGUUUGAUCAUGGCUCAGAUUGAACGCUGGCGGCAGGCCUAACACAUGCAAGUCGAACGGUAACAGGAAUCAGCUUGC
rnacentral:rRNA from 1 species